GUCCACGGCCAUGCUACCCGGAACAAGCUCAAUUCUGUCUGAUCUCGGAAGCUAAGCAAGGUCGGGCCUGGUUAGUACUUGGAUGGGAGACCACCUCGGAAGACCAGGUGCUGUAGGCA
rfam:Pteropus alecto contig58834, whole genome shotgun sequence.